rnacentral:rRNA from 1 species
UCCCCAGACUCCUACGGGAGGCAGCAGUGGGGAAUAUUGCACAAUGGGGGAAACCCUGAUGCAGCGACGCCGCGUGAAGGAUGAAGUAUUUCGGUAUGUAAACUUCUAUCAGCAGGGAAGAAAAUGACGGUACCUGAAGAAGAAGCCCCGGCUAACUACGUGCCAGCAGCCGCGGUAAUACGUAGGGGGCAAGCGUUAUCCGGAUUUACUGGGUGUAAAGGGCGUGCAGCCGGGAGUACAAGUCAGAUGUGAAAUCCCGCGGCUCAACCGCGGAACUGCAUUUGAAACUGUAUUUCUUGAGUACUGGAGAGGCAGACGGAAUUCCUAGUGUAGCGGUGAAAUGCGUAGAUAUUAGGAGGAACACCAGUGGCGAAGGCGGUCUGCUGGACAGCAACUGACGGUGAGGCGCGAAAGCGUGGGGAGCAAACAGGAUUAGAUACCCCAGUAUC